AAAACUCUACAUGUUUGUCUCUCCCACAUCCUUAUUUUUGCCCUUAAUAUUUUUCUUUGGUCCUCUUUCUUAGAACAAUAAUCUUUGCAUUCUAAUGAAAUUCAAGUGUGUAACUGGCAAGAAAUUUUAUUAUUUUGAAGUAAACGAAGUUAAACUUUAAUUUCUACCCAAAUUGUUUGUAAAACAUACUGUGACCAAUUUUUUUUCAAAAUUUUAAUAACAGCCUCAUUUUACUAAUGUUAUAUUCAUAGUUUCAGACGCCGACCUGUGACCCCUCAAGAGUUCAGACAAAUAUAGCGAUUUAUUUAAUUAUAAAAAAUAUAUCACACACAUUCUUUUCAUGUCAUAUUCAAUGUAUAUAUUCUCUACUGUCACAUAAUAUGAGUAUAUACAUCACAGCCAAUUUACCAGACACGAUAAUCCCAGCUGUUAUACUGAAUCGGAUCCUACUCGCUUUAUUCUAUUCUGAAUAUGCCUUUCAGCGUAUAUGUAUAUAUAUAAGCGUGUGAAUUUAUAUGCUGAAUUUGGUUCGAUCGUUUCCUGAUGAUUAGUUAUGGAGAGGAUGAAUCUUGAGGUUUCUUGGAGGAAGAAUCAUGAUCUGUUAUCAUCUUCUGGAUCAUCGCACUCGUCUCAGCUUCCGACAUCUUAUCUUCCGUUCUUUGAGAUUCCUUGUAGGCUUCGAAGAAAUCUUUGUUUUCUUUCACUAACUCAUUCCAAACUGCAAAUCAGUUUAUAGACAUGAUCAUCAAAGUUAAUCUUAACUUGUUUCCCUCUUAAGAGCAAGUUUGAUGAAAUGAAGUGGAUAACGUAGAACAAUAUUAAAGAAGAAAAAGAAAU
rnacentral:lncRNA from 1 species